AACGAACGCUGGCGGCAUGCCUAACACAUGCAAGUCGAACGAAACCUUCGGGUCUAGUGGCGCACGGGUGCGUAACGCGUGGGAACCUGCCCUUAGGUUCGGAAUAACUCCCCGAAAGGGGUGCUAAUACCGGAUAAUGUCUUCGGACCAAAGAUUUAUCGCCUUUGGAUGGGCCCGGGUUGGAUUAGCUAGUUGGUAGGGUAAAAGCCUACCAAGGCGACGAUCCAUAGCUGGUCUGAGAGGAUGAUCAGCCACACUGGGACUGAGACACGGCCCAGACUCCUACGGGAAGCAGCAGUGGGGAAUAUUGGACAAUGGGCGAAAGCCUGAUCCAGCAAUGCCGCGUGAGUGAUGAAGGCCUUAGGGUUGUAAAGCUCUUUUACCCGGGAUGAUAAUGACAGUACCGGGAGAAUAAGCGCCGGCUAACUCCGUG
rnacentral:rRNA from 1 species